AAAUUAACAUUUAGAAUCUAAAUUCUGUGAUGAGCGCCAGUACUUAGGCAAAAAGAAAAAAAAAUACUAAGUACCCCAAUUGUGACUCUUCUUUUUAUAUUGUUCGGAGAAGAACAAAAACAAGUUCUUUGGAAAAAAAAAAUUCUCUUUCGAUAAAGCAGCUCGUUGUCCCUCCGUCUCUGAUUUCCUCCUCCACCGUCUCUGCCGUUGUGGCUGAACCAUCUCACCACAUCCUCCUUCCUCGCCUUCUUCUCAGCCUCCUUCUCCACCUCCCGUUCCCCCGACCCAGCUAACCUAAACCCUAACUCAUCUCCGAUUGAACCCACCUCUCUCAAUUCGCCGCCGCCGCUUCCACCUCCAUCCUCCAUAAAGGAUUUUGGGUUAGGGUUCCUGGACGGCGAUGACGAGUUUCCUCUCAUGAGCUUUCUUCGAUCCUGUUUAACAGGGACUAUUUGAAGAUCUCAAAGCUAACAGGACAGAAGACGACCAGGUUAGGCUGUUCCAGCCUGACGAAAACGCUCUUAGUAUGCAAACAGGUGCUGAUAGGCUUUGUAUGACACCACCUUCUGUGGAGCAAUUCAUCGAAGCAGUUAAGCAAACUGUACGUGCCAUCAAGAAAUGGAAUGGGUUCCUCCUCCGGGUAAAGGAGUUUUGUAUACAAGGCCUCGGCUAAUAGGGAGUGGCACUAUCCUUGGAGCAGCUCCAGCACCUGAGUACAAGUUCCUCAUUUACGCAUCUCCCGUAGGAGAUUACCAUAAGGUAAGCACAAGCCUGAAACUUAAAGUUGAUCAUAAGUAUCGCCGAGCCCAUUCACUUGUUUUCAGAAGCGUGGAUGCUUAUUACUUUUGUUUCCAUGAGAUGUGAUCUGGUGAAGAUGCUUUUGAGACUGCAAAGAGUUGACGUUUCUUCUUCUCCUUAAUCUCAUUAGCUUUUGGUUUUAGUUCUUAUUCCUUCUCUCUGUUCUUGAGAGUUUAUUAAUUUUCUGAAUUUUUUGUUUUGCAGAAAAGAAGAAUGGUUGUAAUAUUUUGACCACGUUUAAGCAAAACGAGAGACUUGAAUCAGUUUCAGUUACAUCUCAUCAUUACAGUUCAUCAAAAGCAGGUUUUGGUUACAAUAAACUUUUCUCUAGAACAAUUGGAACGUGCUUUGGAUACAAGAUCAAAUCUGGUGGAGUUUUAUAUUGGACAAAAACAGAAGAGGGCGACAACUGCUGCAAAAACCGGUUGCAAGAUGAUCAAAUCUUUUUGAGUUACUGUGUGUGUUUGUUGCUUGGAACUGCAACUUAUGGCAUUGAUUCUCUCCCAGGCUAGGCAAGCUCUUCUCACUCAAAGAAUUGCUUCAGCACUUCAAGCAGCCAUGAUGUUAAGACCACGUUUUGUAAGACAUUUGGUAUGAUGUUUAAGACUUGAUGUUUUGUAAGACUUGUUUUUAAUAUGAUGUUUGUCCUUGUGAUGUUUUGUGUAAGACAUGUUUGGAUGUUUAAUAAAAAUAAGAGUGUUUUAAAUGCAAA